GGGGGAGUAGUUCAAUUGGCGAGAGCGUCGGAUUCCAAAUCCGGUUGUUGCAGGUUCGAGUCCUGUCUCCCCUG
rnacentral:tRNA from 1 species